UCAGACCUGCAGGAACAUGAAGAUCAGAGAUCAGCAGAUGAAACAGGACUGCUGGUAGAUCAGAAUCUACCAGAAUAAUUUCCAGACUCUUUUUAUUUCCUCAUAUUUCCAGUAAUUCCUCUAAAGCAGCAGAGUUCUCCUUCUGGUCCAGUUUAUCCAACAACAGCAGCAGGACUUUGUUCAAUCUCUCAGCAGAGAGAAUCCAGCUGCUAGAUCCUCACUAAAUCUGACCUCAGACCAGUUCUCCCAUCACAGCUGGUACUGGAGCGCCACCUGGUGGUGAAUCUAGGAACUGAGCGCAUCUCCAGCUGAAGAACCACAUCAGAACCUCUUCAUUUCUGUAUUGAAUGGUGAACAAGCAGCAGUGAUGAAGAGGAUGAAGAGGAGGAGCUGCUGCUCCAGAAACAGCAGAAAUGUUGGAUUAGUUAAAUAUAUGGGCUUUGUGGAGCCCCUUCACCUGAUCAGGCUUUUUUUUAAGUUUAUUUAAAAGGGACCAUGUACGUUUAAAACAUAAAUAUUACAUUUGAUUUACUGUACCAAAGAUAGUCAAAGGCUAAUUUUCAUCUGCUGUCCCUAUUCCAGGCCACAAUUCAUAUUAACUCCAUUCAUCAGAUAAAAACAGCAAACACACAGAAGCAGUUCAAUGUGACACUCACCCAUUACCUGUAAACAAUCCUACAUUAUCAGUUCAUUCAAUGAAUCAUUCAUACUUACACAAAGCCAGUACCA